GUGCUCGCUUCGGCAGCACAUAUACAAAAAUUGGAACGAUACAGAGAAGAUUAGCAUGGCCCCUGCGCAAGGAUAAUGUAAUUUGGAGCAAAUGGGUAUAACAUAUAC